ensembl:lncRNA
CUCUGGGAAGCUCUGCCUUGCCUCACUUCAUGGGCUGCUGGGACCCUGGGACCAGCCAAGUCUGAGGCCCACAUAGCAAGGGGAAUGCAGCCCUGCGGGAGGCCACUGUCCCCUCUGCUGGGGAAUGACAGUUUGGCCUGGUCACUGGGAAAAGGGCCCCCUUGCCCUGCAAGCCCAUUGGGCCUGACCCUACUGAAGGGUUCCUGAUGUCACAAAUGAUGUCAUAAAUGAAAGGUGGGGCAUUUGAGUUUGCUAAGGCACUGGCCACAGGGGCUGCCAGAAAUGUUCCAGCAGGCUAGGGUCAGCAGCCUACUGGCCUGGGGACUCGGUGACCAAAUGUUGUUCCAUCAUGUUUUUGCUGCUCCACAUCAGGGUCUGCGUGCCAAGCUGCCUUGCCAAGAGAGGCUCCCAGAGCUGGUUCUGAUCCUAGAUGGGGUCAGAAUCAAUUUCUAGCUGCGUCUCUUUGCCUCAAAAGGAAGAUCCAGGCUGCCAGACCCAUCAGGCUGCAGACCACCAGGCACGUGAAGUGCUUGUUCCACGUCUGGACAGUUGGAAGUCAAACGCAGCACAGUUUCUUUCUCAUCGGAACAAGGAGGAGGAGCCGGCUCCGCAUGGGCAACUCGCUCAGGUGUUGUUUGGAACUCCACACCAACUUGUAAAACCUCAAGCUUCAGGAGCGAAGCUCGAAGGAUGAUGAUAUCUACACAAGGACGGACAGAGCGGAGCACAACAGCCUUGAUCCAGAGUCCCAGGAGAACCCAGAUGAGCCUCAGAGGCCCCUGGACAAACUGCACCUUCUCAUUUCCAGCUGGAGGCCCAGACUCUCCACCCAGAGACUCCCCAGGUCCAGUCCUUUUCUCCUCAGCAAGAAACCACAGCUCAGUUCUCACAGCCCGGAGGAAGGGGAACCUUCACCCAGCAGGAGGCCCAGGGUCAGCCUGACCUUGCUGCUGAGGAGGGUGGAGCAGCUGUUGGUGCUCAGGAGGUAAAAGCUCCAUCUCCAGGUCGGAGGGAAGCUCGUCACUCACAUGAGCCAUUGGUCACAGUUAAUGCGGCUGUGGAGGACAUGAGGACCACGCAGGGAGAGGAGGAGGCUCAACCUCCUCCAGGCCAGCAGCAGGCCCCAGCUCAGUCUGGAAAACAGCACAAGGCAACAGUUUCUCCUCUAGGUGAGAGGAGCCUCCAACCUCAUUCAGCCUCCAGCACUGGACGGUGUCACUGUCGAGCUUCAGGAGCUAACCAACAAAGUUGCAAUUGAAACUUCAGCAGGACAGGGCCCCAGCUCCGUCCUCCCCUGAGCAGGUUGGACCUUUCACAGACAAGCAACCUUCUCCAUCCCAUGGCAGGGUCCUAAGUCAGCCUGCAGAGCUUCCUGAGGAGUGUUCUCCAUGCCAGCAGGAACCUCAGCUCUGUCUCCAAACUCCCCUGCUUUUUGAGACAGCCAAGGAGUCUGACUCUCACUUUUCCCUGCCAGCUGGAGAGUGGUGCAGCUUGGCCAGCAGCUGUCUGCCCCUUCCCCUGGCUCCUCUUUGCCCUCCUUGUACCUCGGUGGACAAGGACAGUUUGCUUCAGUGUCCUCCCCGGCUAUCAAACCGCCAUUCUCCACUCCCACAUGAGUGCAGCCAGGCAGGCAGCGUGGUGCCCCCCUUCAGACACUGCUGGUGCAUUUUGAAAGGGGAGAGGGUACCUUGGAUGGCUGGGAUCAGGAAGGGCGGGAUCUGGCCCUUAUUUGCAUACCUGGCAUUCACAGCAAGCCUUCAAGAAGAAUCCCUAGUUCCAGCCCUCGCCUCGCUGAAACAGGCCUGCAAACUGCUCCACAAGUAUUGUAGUCUUUCCCAGGCACUUCCUGGGCUUAGUCUAGGGGGUUCCCUCCUGUGUACUGGCCCCUGUGCUACAGCAGUGAGGACCUACUUCCGGCUCAGUUGAGGCAGCAGCCAUGGGGAAUGUGGAUGGGGCGCUCCUAAAGGUGCUGCAGGCCCGGAACAACAG